rnacentral:lncRNA from 1 species
GGCGCCGCGCGGGAAACGCUGGCGGCCGCUCGUACCCUACCAGGCGCUCUGCCCCGCCGUGGGGUUUUGGGGGUGCUGUGGAGAAGGCAGGGCUCGGGACUCUUCCACCUCCUUGGCUGCUCUGGCCUUUGAGUUAUGCUCUAAGAUUAUCGAUUACUUUUCCGUUGUUGCUUAUUUCCCACAGCAGCAGAAUGAGAACGGUUAUUAGUUAAUAGCCAUCAGAGACAGACCAAGUGGAACACAGUCCUCGGAAAAACGCCACUCUGUAGCAUUAGUAAUUAAAACCUCACAAGACUUCUCAGUCCUUUAUGUGGAGCUGGGGGCAGGAAGAAUUGCUUCUGGAAGCUGAUGGAGUUGGACAUGUGGCUUUCUAGAAUCUGGAUGUGAUGGUGCAGGAAAAACUCCUGCCCAUUGAGAGGGCUCCGUAAGUGCUUCCCAAAAGAGAAUGAGAAGGAAAAGGAGAUCUCCACAGGAACUGCCUCCUUGGAUCCAGGGCAAAAAUGAACCUCCUAUUGGAGAGAAGUGCCCAGCUUGUCAAGAAGUUGAAUCGGUGCAACCAGCGUUUGUGAAAGCAGCAUUUCCCAUUUCACAUAAAGUCAGCUUCUGGCCAACUGGACAAGUCUGAACAAAUAUGAAACCCACUAAAAGGCCAGUGACAGGUGCACACACUACUGACUCUGGCUAGAGGCUGUGGCAGGAAUUGGACUCAUGUCAUCCAGCGACAGUUCCACCAGCAUCUCUUGUGGCUUCCCAAGGACCAGCCUGAGGCAAACUCCUCAGUGGUGUGAAGACUUUCCAUGUCACUGGAAACCCACCACAGAGUUCUACCAAGUAACCAUGCCUCCACCAGUCCACAACAAACUUUUAAGGCCUCUCCAGUUAUGCCUGCAACCAUCCCACAUUAGCAACCUAAGUAGGCCACCAGUAGAGCUGGUCAAGAGAAAGGAUAGGUUCAAUUAAUUAUUUUUUAAUUAAAAAAAAAUAGAGACAGGGUCUUGUUAUGUUGCCGAGGCUGGUCUUGUACUCCUGAGCUGAAAUUAUCUUCCCGCCUCAGUCUCCCAAAGUGCUGAGAUUACAGGUGUGAGCCACCGUACUCAGCCAGAUAGAUUCAAUUUUUAAAACUUUAUUGCCAUUACUGUUCAGUAACCCCUUGAUAUGGUUGAAUAUUUGUCCCCUCCAAAACUUAUGCUGAUAUCUAAUCCCCAAUGUGACACUAUUGAGAGCUGGGGCUUUUAAGAUGUGAUUAGGUCAUGAGGGCUCCACCUUCUGAAUGGAUUAAUCCAUUCAUGGAUUAAUGAGUUCAUGGGUUAAUAGAUUAAUUUAUCUUGGGAGUGGGAUUAGUGGUUUUAUAAGAAGAGUGAGACCUCAGCUAGCAUAUUAGCACUCAGCUCCCUUGGCAUGUGAUACCACCUUGGGACUCUGCAGAGAGUUCCACCAGCAAGGCCUGUACCAGAUGCAGCCCCUUGACCUUGAACUUUUCAGCUUCCAGAACUGUAAGAAAUAGGCCAGGCAUAGUGGUUUACACCUGUCAUCCCACCACUCUGAGAGGCCAAGGCCAGUGGAUUGCUUGAGCCCAGGAGUUUGAGGCUUCAGUGAGCUAUGAUCAUGCCAUUGCACUCCAACCCAGCCUGGGCAACAGAAC